GAAGGGUGCAAGCGUUACUCGGAAUUACUGGGCGUAAAGCGUGCGUAGGUGGUGCGUUAAGUCUGUCGUGAAAUCCCCGGGCUCAACCUGGGAAUGGCGAUGGAUACUGGCGCGCUAGAGUGAGGUAGAGGAGAGUGGAAUUCCCGGUGUAGCAGUGAAAUGCGUAGAGAUCGGGAGGAACAUCAGUUGCGAAGGCGGCUCUCUGGACCAUCACUGACACUGAGGCACGAAAGCGUGGGGAGCAAACAGGAUUAGAUACCCUGGUAGUCCACGCCCUAAACGAUGCGAACUGGACGUUGGGCUCAAUUGAGAGCUCAGUGUCGAAGCUAACGCGUUAAGUUCGCCGCCUGGGGAGUACGGUCGCAAGACUG
rnacentral:rRNA from 1 species